AGGAGCAGGGAGACAGCGGGCGCGCGCGCGGAGGCCGGAGAGGCGUUUGCGGCCCAGCGCCUGGACUGGACCUUGGCGUUGGGCCGCAGUUGCCCGGAGUUUUUGGGGCCCCCGGGAACCCGCGCGCCGAGGCCGGCUAAGUUUGGCAGACUCUCUGAGCUCUCGGAAUUCGACUGCCUCCAUUGUUGCUCCUUCUGGCACCCACAGACCGUAACGUGGCCGUAAUUGUUUCCCGGAGAGCUUAGCUUCCCUCUGAGCACCUCCCUCCCCUUUUUAAAGUACCUUCCCACUCGCCUGCGUUUCCUCGCGUUAGUGGUGCAGGGGCCUCCGCAUUUGGGGAAAUAACAAACACCCACUUCCGCCCCCCACCCCAACCGGGAUCCCCAGAUAAUGAGAAAUAGAUGGUGGCCCUCUGUUUGUAAGCUGUUCAUUUGCAUAGGUCGGAACCGCGCACCACAGCUUGAAGCUAGGAAUUAAAAUAUCGGUGGGAAUUAAAUAAGUGGCUGGCUUAAAGAACAUCUUCUUAAUUUAUCCCCAAAUGUAGACAUCUCUUCAGUGGACCCCCUGAUAGGCCGGUUUGCUCCAGGUGAGGUGUGCUCACAGCAACUGCAACCGUGUUUCUUUCAGACCAUGGGCGUGAGCAGAACCUACUAUGCGCCCCUGCUGCCUGGGCUGUGCUGUUCAGUUUGGGGCCACCAGCCCCACAUGGCUCCUGAGCACUUAAAGUAUGGCUAGUCGGAAUCGAGAUAUAUGCAUUCUUUACCAAAUAAUGUUCAAAAAAUUGUUACAUGUUGAAGUGAUAAACUUUUUCCAUAUAUUGGGAUAAAAGUUUUAUUUGUUUAUUUUUUAGUGUGGGUUCUACAGAAUUUUAAAUGUCACCUGUGGCCUGCAUUAUAUUGCCAUUGGGCAGGCUGAUCUAGGGCUUGCAUGCCUGUGAUCCUUAGGUGCACCCUGUGAGGUAGGUGCUUUAACUGUGUGCACCCUGUGAGGUAGGUGCUUUAACUGUGUGCACAUUGUGAGGUAGGUGCUGAAACUGCUUCCUGUUUUUUUUUUUUUUUUCUUUUGAGACGGAGUCUCACUCUGUCUCCAGGCUGGAGUGCAGUGGUGCGACCUGGGCUUACUGCAAUCUCCGCCUCCCAGGUUCAAGUGAUUCUCCUGCCUCAGCCUCCCGAGUAGCUGGGAUUACAGGGGCACGCCACCACACCCAGCUAAUUUUUGUAUUUUUAGAAGAGACGGGGUUUCACCAUGUUGGCCAUGAUGGUCUCGAUUUCUGACCUUGUCAUCCGUCCGCCUUGGCCUCCCAAAGUGCUGGGAUUACGGGCGUGAGCCACCGUACCCAGCCUGCUUCCUGUUUUAACAGACGAAGAAAUGGAAUAACUUCCAACAACACAGGUUGGAGCUGAAGGAGUGCCCAGGCUGCGGAUGGAGGAAGGACGUGCUCGGGAGAAGGUGAAGAUGGGAGAGAAGCAAGAUCUUCUGUGUUUGGACCAAGGACACAUUUCCUUACUCCAUAGCAGCUGUGGUCAGUGGCUUAGCUCGGACAAGGAGAUGAGAGCCCAUGUGUUGUGAGGGUUCUUCUGGGAACUCUGAGAAGGCAGGAGCCGCCCCCGCCCUUCACUGCCUCUCUUCCAUUCUGCAGCAUGGAAUAUGGAUGUGUGGUCUGGAUGUACAGACACCAUUUUGGACCAUAAAGACAAGGACGAUUGUCUAAGGAUGACACAGCCAGAGCACUGAGAGUGGCGAGAAGGACAGGGGAGCUGCUGUGCCAAGCAGGACUGUCUCUCUUAAGAGAAAAAUAAAAUUUAUUGGUGUUUAAACCAUUGCUUUUUUGGGCUGUCACGUCACUGGAAUUAAUCUGAAACGCUGCAGCAAUUAAUGGAAAAAAUAGAACCCCAUCUUCACGCUUUGAGCUUUUUAUGGCAUAACCACUCUGUCCAAAGUAAUAUACCACCAAGUUGAAACAUGAUUAUGCUCAGCUGUUUACAGGCUUUGGAAAUUUCAGUACAGGGUUUAUCUUCCUGUCAUACAGCCUGCCAUUCCCCUUUUAAUGUGGCCAGAUCGUUUGAUGUGUUUUCUCUUUGUCUCCAUUCAAGCAGGGAGAAGGCUCUGUGCAUCCAGGAAGGUUUGUGAAGGGCCUCCUGGUAUCUGUAUUCAAAAGAUUUAAAAUUCAAAUACAGCAGGGAGAGUGGUCGGAAGACCCACUUCGGGGUGGCGUGUCAGAAUGGGAUUGGUGGGGGAGAGAUCAGUCUGGGGGCUCCGCAGAUGCCAUGGGAAUGGCCUCAUGGUACACUGGGGACCUGAGAUUCCAAAACUGGUCAGAGAUGCCCAAGCCCAGUCAAUCACGGCACAGCAGCAGAGCAGCUAAGGGGCCAUGGGGGCUGCGCCCUACCAGUGCAGACAGAGGCACAGUCACCUCAGGGCACUUCAGUGCCACAGCCCGAGUACCCUUGGACAGGGAGAGGAAAAGGAGAUGAGCAACGGGCGUCUCAAACUUAACAUGCUCAGAUUCAGGAACUCCGGGUCUUCCCCACCAUCUGCUUCAGCCCCAUUUCCCCAUCAGCCAAUGGCAUCUUUAUUCUUCCAGAUCCUCAGGCCAAAACCUUGGAGCAUUUUUCAAUCCUUUUUCUCUUACACUGUACACCCAAUCCAUUUGCAAAUCCAGAGGGUCUACUUUCAAAAUACAUCCAGAAUAAAACCACUGUGGCCCACUUCCGCUGCACCCACCUGUGCCAUUGUCAUCUCUCCCGGACUGUUGAAAUAGACUUCUGGCUGGCCUCUGCAUUCUGCCCUCGUUCCCUGGAGUUUAUUCUCAUUAUGGCAGCUGGGUUUAGCCUGCUAAAAUGUAAGCUGACGUGUGCUCAAAAUUCUCCAGUGGAUCCCAGUUCACUCUGGGUAAAGGCCAAAGCCCUUAACACAUCCUACAAGGCCCUACCUGGCCUCUCUCCUCUCACUCACCAUGCAUUCACCAAACCAGGCUCUUUGCUGUUCCGUAAAAACCCCAGCCAUGAUCCUGCCUCAGUGCCUUUGCACUGGCUGCUCCCUUUGCUUAGAAAACUCUUUCCCCAGGCAUUCAAAGGAUCUGUCCCUGCGGCUCUUUUAGGUCUUUAGUCAAAUGUCUCUUGCUCAAAGAGGUCUUUCCUGGCUGCUGUAUGAACCUGGUGGCACCUCGCUGUCCACCCCCAAUCUACCUUCCUUCCCUGCGUUUUCUUAUAGCACUGACGACAUACUGUGCAUCUUACCAUUAUUUUGUUUCUGUCUGCCUCUUCUCACUAGACGGUCAGCUCUGGGAGGAUAAAAACCUUGUUUUGGUUUCCUAUUAUAUUCGCAGCAACCAGAACAGUGCUGAUGCCAAGUAGGUGUGUAA
ensembl:lncRNA DICER1-AS1 DICER1 antisense RNA 1